CAGCAAAUAAUAUCACUUUAAAGGUAAGAACCUUAGCUAAUUUAUAAGUAACACUUUUGUAACACUUUAACAUUAUGUAACACUUGAUUGUAACACUUUGAUUUUAAGUAACACUUGAUUGUAACACUUAGAUCUUAAGUAACACUUGAUUUUAACACUCUAAUAUUAAGUAACACUUUGAUAUGAAGUAGCAAUUUAAUAUAAACACUUGAUUGCAAUUGUAAGCCUUACUUGUAAUUAACAAUGUACCCACUAGUAGAAAAACACAAAUGGGCACCAACACGCAAAAAAAAAAAAAAAAAAAAAAAACCUAAAAAUUCAAGCCAACACCAAAAAAAGAAAAAAAAAACGGCGUAAAAGGGCACCGGUUUGGUUCAAACUUGUACUAUUGUAUUUUUUUUCGAAAGAGUACCCUUGUAAUUGAGUUAAGAGCACUGAUUUCCCCAAAUCUAUAAUACUACUGCCUCCAUUUCAAUAUGAUAGUCUCAUAUACAAUCAAUCACAUAAAAUAAGAAAAAAAAAUAUUUGGAAUCUAAUAAUGAAGUCAAAACCAAUUUCUUAAUUGAAGUAGUAAAUUUUUUAUUUUAGUUUUUGUUUCUUAUUAGAAAGAGGAAUAGUGACAUACCUAUUUCGCCCUCUUCUCAAAUUACUGAAUUUUAACCUUGCCCUUAUUCUUCCUUCUAUGUCAAAAGCUUUUCCCUUUAGGCUCGUGCUUCCUUAUUCAUUUUCACUUUUUCUUCCAUUACCAUCCCCUUUCCCUAUUUCUAUGGCUGACGAAAGAGAAGAUCAGAGGGGGGAAGAAGAUAUUUGAAUCGUGAAAGAGGGCAGUGGUGAUGGCGGUGUGUUCUUGAUAUUCGGUCGCCUCACCUCAUUAAUAAGGGCGGUGGGAGAAGAUCGGUGGUGAUGUUGAAUUGGCCUCCUUCAAUUCUUCUAUUCACCCUGUUAAUUUUGCUAGUUUAAAUUCCACUUCCUCUAAAAUCCUUAAAUGUGAUGAUGGAAAUUAAACAGAUUGAUUAUGAGGUUUCCUAAAAGGUGAAAUUCAAUUUUCUAGUAGCUUUCAAGGUAAGAUGUUCUUUUUGUUGUUAUCAUUGAUUAUUACAUUCAUAAUAUAGGAUUUUUUAUUACUUUGAUUCUUAUUAUACUCAAUUAAUUUAGGGUUAUACUUAAAUUUAUGUUUACACUAGCAUGCUAAAUAUGCUAUUGAACCUUGAUGCUAAUAGUUUUGGAGGAAAUUGAGGUAUAAAAAGGAUUCCCUAUUUACUUUAAGGUUUGAAUGAGUUAUUUUUUUAUAAUUUGUUUGAUAGAAGUAGAGUAUCAUAAUGCAAAAAGUUUUCCAUUUGAUUUGCUACAAGGUAUUCAUUGAUCAAUAAGAGAUUAUGCUGGAUUUUGAUUCGAUGUGAGCUUCAUGGAUUAAAAUUAACAUAUACUAAUGAAGUUAAACAUCCUAUAAAUUUGUCACACAAUUAAAAUGGUUUGAUGACUUAGAGAUGUAAAAAAUAAAUGUAACUAAUGGAUUUUUCAUUGUAUUAGUCUAAGAUUAGUGUUCAUUUAUCAGUCUUAUCACUUGGUUGAUUUAGAUAUAAUUGAAUUCGUUUUUAUUUCCUUAGAUUUUGUAUGUCUACUUGAUUGUUUUAGAGCUUUAGGUAGUAUGUGUUUUGUAUUUUGUUAGCAGAGCCUUCAAGUGUUCAUUUUGCAGUUACUAAAUUUUGUUAUUGAUGGAGUGAAACUACACCUGAAUAGCUAUGUGCUUUACGGAAUUUAUCUCAACUCAAAUUUAGCGUAAUGUCUUCAGGAUUAUAAAACACAACAUAUGAAUCCCUCAAAAUGAAAUGAUAGACCUUUUUUUGGUUCUUGUAUAUUAGAUCUUUGGUUUCUCGAUAGUUAAGUUUACAUACAUAUAAGACAGUGAAAGUGUUGUCUAAUUAUUAAACUCUGAGAUCUGAUAUGAACUUUUAUUCUUAACAUGAGGUUGUUUUUCAGGUUGAUAGUCACCUGAGAAGGUUUGCUAACACUUAGGACUGUUGUGAAUGGUGUAUUAUUAAAAUGGCAGGAUAUGGAGUUCCAUGGGUGCAGAUUGUAAAUCAACUAUUUUCUACAACACUUUAUUAUUUAAAUUCCAGACAUUAUAUUGUUGGGGUUCUUAAUCACAACGAUUGGACCUGAUUACAUGAUUAUAAUGGUUGUCUGAUAUGAUGCUUUUACACAAUUAUAGGAUCAAAUGAAUCAAGAUGAAGGAUUGGAGUAGCAAGUAAUGAUGCCACAAGAAACAUGCUUGCAUAUAUGUAGCUGCUGAUGUUUAGGGAGAUAAAUAAUACAAAAUAAACUUAGGUAAAAAAAAAAAUUUCUUGUUUUUUUAUUUAUCUAGAUAAAUUUUUUUGGAUAGUUAGAUUGUUUAGCCAAACCAACAAAAAAAUGGUGUUUAUGGAUUUUUUUGAAGAAAAUAUGAAAUUAUAUCAAUUCAAUUUAUUGAGUAUCGUAUAUGUUAUUUU